ACGGUCAGAAGACAGACGUGGAGGAAAGUAGAGAAGAGGCUCAGGAACGGACAAUCUGGUGAGAAGUGUGUCUGGAAUCGUGGGGGCGGCGAUGCGAAUCCAGAGGAGAAUGGAAUGUUAUGACGAAACCAGUAUGUGGGGGCACGUUGCGCAAUCCUUUACCUCGCCGCCGACGACUGUAUUGUGUAUUUACGACAUUGAUAAAGGAAGAAGAGAGAGAGUGACGAAAGGAUGGAAAGGGGAGUGGAUAGUCGAUUUACUGCAUCGUGGGUUACGAUCCGUCACGUAUGGGUAAAUAAAAGAAUAACAGCUGUAUUUCGCUACAUUCUUCUGGAGGUUAUGUUGAGCUGAGCAGAGCUGAGUAGAGCAGAGCAGAGCGGCGUUGCAACCAGGGGUCGCGAGCGCAGCGGCAGCAGCAGCCAGCGCUCGGCGUUUUUUGUGGAGGUCGUUUGCCUUCAGUGGCCCUGAGCUUACCGCGCAGCUGCCUGUGCAACCAUCGCUAGUUGUGCACUGAGGUCGCAAAGCGGCACGUGAUGUUUCUAAUGCAACAUUGUAACAUUCCGGCUUGUCUGGUAGUAUUGAGCAGCUUAGCAACAGGGACGAAGAUAUGUACGUGACCGCAUGCAGUGAUACGGGCGAAGGGGUGGCGAAAUCAUGGAUUUUCAAGGGGAUAUCUAUUGAGCAGAAGAUGUGUUAGAUGGUUCUUAGACUGGGGAUGUGUGAGGGAUCUGAAGCAAUAGGGACUCGGUGAGUGGUGCAGGUAUGCAUUUUUUCGAUGGACAGAUUAGAGAGACCGAGGGUCUCGGCCCCAUUACCGCGAAUUUCCUCCCCGAGGCCCCGAGCCUCUUCUCCUUUGGGCAGAUCAAGGACUCUGCGAAAGGUAGCUGAUCGCUCUAACGCUCGGCCGUCUAAAAAGUUUCAACUUUCUGGCCGUUUUCGCCGUGCCUUAAUAUUGGGUCCUCUCCUCUGCAUAGCCGCCAUCUACCCUUUGAUGUGGUUCCUCUCAGUACCUCCGCUCAGCUUUGCCAGAACCACUUCCUCGUGCCUUGACGAAGGAACCGAUUAUCAGAUUUCCGAGCAUUACUUGUGCACUAACGCAUGCGGGAAAGUAUGCUUCCCUCGUGUCCACGGCAUGUGCAUCUCUCGAACACAGGUCACAAUCUGCGACGAUCUGCCAUAUUUUAGUAAAGAUAUCAUUAAAGCAGGAGGUGGUCUCCCAGAUACGCUGCGGCUCAUUACAAAUGUUCCUAGGGAUCGUGUUCGUGUGAAGAGAGGAACUUGUCCCGGAUGGGACUCGAGACUACACGAACCUGUUGAUGCCUCAGGUGGUGAGAGGACGCAAGGUCACUGGAUACGAGGAUUACAAAUGGUGGCAGAUGUGAAGCUUAUGCCUCAUGGUAAAAAAGUUGGCCCCAACCCUCAUCAUGAGGCUGAAAAGCUCAUUCCGGCCGUUUUGUUAUCACAUCUCUAUGGUCUCAGGAAUUCCACGUUAUAUUGGUUUGCUCACCGAGACCCCAAGACUAUCUCGAGAUGGUCAUUGGGUUUGAUCAAAGUAUUCUUGGAAACCAUGAAGGUGGAGUUCAUGGAUGUUCCUGGGCCUGAUGAACCUCAAAUCUGCUUUGAAGACGCAAUCUUAUUUUCAGGACUCACUAAUGCAGGCUACGUGCCUGGACGCGAAGCGAACGCCUGGCUCAGAGAAAAAGUACUGGGAUUCUGUAACAUACCUGUGCUAGAUGCAUCGAGACCAGUCAACAACGUGGUCAUCGUAGAGCGUAUCCAUUCUUCCAGGUCCAUAGCAAACAUGGAUGAAGUAAAAUAUACACUUGAGAAAGAGCUCAUGGUUGUUCCCAAGGUUGUGACCAGUGGGGUUGGUGAUUUCUGCGAUCAGGUCAAAGUGAUAGCCUCUGCCGACUUCGCCGUAACUCCACAUGGCUCCCACAAUAUUAACUUUCUGUUCGCUCGACGAUAUUCUACAGUGUUAGAGGCUUUUCCGUUGUUAUAUUACAUCGACUGGUUUGGAAAUUACGUCCAUGCUGCUAACGUCAACCAUCAUGAGCUGUAUGGGACCUGGCUGGCUAAGCAGGGCAGCCUGCCUUUCAAGAUGCGCGUGUAUGCCAAUCUCUAUGGAUGGAGCGGGUGCUUUUACCAUCGUGCGUGCAUGAACUAUGCCAAAAGUCAACAAGUUGCUAUUCAUAUUGGUCAACUGGAGAAGUUGUUAAAACAUCUGACAUCCAGUUGCCAAGUGGUGGUUGAUGAAACAUGCCUUUUUAAAAAUGGAAGCUGGAAAAAUAGUGUCAACAAUGUGAAUGACUUCGACCGCCUACCGAGGUUGCGGAAGUUCCUUGAACGGGUCUUAGUCAGGUCUACUCAGGGAAGAGUCACAAGAAAACGGAUCUAGAACCUCGAAUCUCGAACUAGACGGCCAUGCGCUGCGUUUGAGGAUCCGUUGCUGCAUGUUAUAUACUUUACCUGCUCAGAUGAUGACAUGCCAUUGCUGACAUUCCCCCUGGAUGUUGUUGGAUUGAAGCCAAUCGUGCGCAACACGCUCAGUAUGGCUGGAAUUGUUUUGGUUCACGAACCACCUGAACAUCUUCUGAAGACAUAUUCUUGGGCUUUUCACAUCAAGAUCAAGCAACGCCUUGAUAUGUCGCUUUUGAAGGAAUCAGACAAGACCAAGACGAACGUUGAGUGACUCGUGAGUCAAGUACUCUAUGUUUGAUUGAGUAUCCGUUUUGUGUGUCGGAAAGUGAGCUUCUAAAACAUGCGAAACCCCUUUUAUAUUCGCUGUUCUUCACUUCAAAAGAUUUGGAAUAAGAACUGAAUGGUGACGAGCCCUCCUUGCCUCACUGGGAUAUAGACGUACACGGUUUGGCGGUGAAGAAUGAAGUUCAUGUCUAGCAUUUGAAAUCCAGAAUAAGCAUCAGUUAACAUUGCAUGUGCAGUGUGCGUUUCCAGGCUCACAAGUCGGCAAGGCCAAGCAUAAGAAUCAUAAAAACCAAGGCUCAAGAACAGUGAGAUUUUUCAGGAAUAUAUGAUGAAUUUUAUACAAACAAUUAUGAGCUCUACAGCAAAGCUCCACAUUUUAGUUUGAUGGAGCUGCACAAUAUCCUGAUAGUUUUAAUAGGAUGGUGUAGAAUGUGUACACCAUCUUGUUAAAACUAAAGUAGAGGAUUCAGAGGAGUGGUCCUUUUUUGUUAAUUUGAAUGUUGUUUUACAUCUGAUGUUCGCUGUUGCAGUAUCCAGAAUAAGAAUCAUCUGUAAUUAUGUUUCAGGAAGGGAUACAUUAAACGACAGCAUGAAACUGUAAAAAACUUCGGUUCUUACUUCUGUAUCUUGUCCCUUCUAAGAUAUAAGCAUGAUUCAUGACGUUUAGCCCAAGUUUUAGAUUUAUGGUUUGGGUGUUAGCAAUUUUACUGCACGGUUGAAAGAGUUUUGCCUUAGAAUCAACAGAGAACUUUAAUACAAAGUUUGACAUCAUUAGAGAGAUGGAAUUGGAGACGUUGAUCUGAUGUUAUGGAACACUGAAUAUACUUCUGGAAGCAUUUUUUUACA